rnacentral:rRNA from 1 species
CGUAGGUGGCAAGCGUUGUCCGGAUUUAUUGGGUUUAAAGGGUGCGUAGGCGGCCCUGUAAGUCAGUGCUGAAAUAUCCCGGCUUAACCGGGAGGGUGGCAUUGAUACUGCAGGGCUUGAGUAAAGUUGAGGUUGGCGGAAUUGACGGUGUAGCGGUGAAAUGCUUAGAUAUCGUCAAGAACACCGAUAGUGAAGACAGCUAACUAAGCUUUAACUGACGCUGAGGCACGAAAGUGUGGGGAUCAAACAGGAUUAGAUACCCUGGUAGUCCACACUGUAAACGUUGAUUACUCGAUGUUGGCGAUACACAGUCAGCGUCUUAGUGCAAGCGAUAAGUAAUCCACCUGGGGAGUACGCCGGCAACGGUG